UAAAAAAUCAUCUUGCAAAUAGAUUUGUUGGCGAUUUCUAAUCAAGGCUGUUGCAGUCUCGCCAUUGUGCAAUAACGAGUGUGAUGAGACUAACGAAGGAAGCAAUUUUAAUGAACAUUUGAUAAAGCUGUCGGUGCAGCUUCCUUUGUGGCAUUGUGCGCAUAAAAGCCUCUAAGAAAAGAUAAGUCUGGCGAUAUCGCGAGUCUAGCCAUAACUGUGUUAGUAACGUAAAAAAGCCUCCGCCUUGUGUUCUUUUUGGUGUAAUAAAUGCUCUCGGCACUGGUCUAGUGCAGCAGCAGCGGCGUUCAUCUGCAUGCCCGUCUGGCCCUCGAAGGCGACAAAGACGGCCGAGGCAUCGACUGACUCCCCCAGCUCGUUAUGUUAUUACACCGGCUGGAAAAAAGUCAAAUAAAAUGCAACGUGUUACCAGCAUAUGUAAUUGCGUUUCGCUGUGCACCACUGCAGUCUAGACGGGCUGGAGAUUAAUGCCGACCAAGAAGAAAUUCGGCCGUUCGAAGGCUCAGACGGCUUAAUGAAUUAAUUAGGGCCGGGCCAAUAUUUGAUAAAGUGGCGGCUUGUUUACGGGCAAAGAGAGACGGCGAAAAAAUAUCCUACCUGCGCCACGGACGAAAAAAAUAUUGCAAAAGGGGAAGGAAGGAAGGAAAAAAUCAUCAUCCAGACGGACGACGCCGCAGGAAAACUCCUACUUCAAAUAUUAUCUUUCGAUAAAGGAUCCAUUUACGGCAAAAGUGGAACGAAAAUAAGUUCGCGCCUCGAUAUUGUAAUUUUGCUCCCUGCCGAAGAACAAAUUAAGCAAAAAAAUUAGCUUAGACUGAAAACACUUUCCAUCACAACUGCAGUCUCAAGGGCUCUAACAAAAUACAUACAGUCUGUCCCAGCGAGUUGUUUUUAAAUUUGUUUCACAAAUGAACCGCAAUAGAAAUUUUUUUUAAGGAACUCUCUACAUUUUAUAACAUUUUUGGAUGUUAUUAAAUCGAGCGAAAUCACUUGGAAAUCCUGUAAUCACUUAAUUUUGGCUCAACUGAGUUGAUUUCGAACGAUUUCUCGAUUAAAAACGAAUCUAACUAGCUUGAAAACACGCCUUAUCUUCUGGAUUUUUUUUGUCAUUUUUGAGUAUUGGAAGUCACUAAACUACCCAACAGCAAGUUUUUUCGAUACGUUUGUCAGUCUUGAGUAAAUUUGAAAGUUGUAGUGCGAAUUAUCGUUGGAAAGCACUCUUAAUUAUCUGUCUUUUGAUUCACCCUGUAGAUUACCAAUAAAAAAAAUCAUAACUUAAAAACUAUUGAGAAUUUAGGAGAUUUACUCGUAGCAAAAUUGUGUUUUUCUGGCCAAAUCAAGUCGGGUUUUGCUCUUUAAUAAAAGUUUCCCCUUUCGUUUAGCUUUAUU